AUUGAACGCUGGCGGCAUGCUUUACACAUGCAAGUCGAACGGCAGCGCGGGCUUCGGCCUGGCGGCGAGUGGCGAACGGGUGAGUAAUGCAUCGGAACGUGCCCAGUAGUGGGGGAUAGCCCGGCUAAAGCCGGAUUAAUACCGCAUACGACCUGAGGGUGAAAGCGGGGGACCGAAAGGCCUCGCGCUAUUGGAGCGGCCGAUGUCGGAUUAGCUAGUUGGUGGGGUAAAGGCUUACCAAGGCGACGAUCCGUAGCUGGUCUGAGAGGACGACCAGCCACACUGGGACUGAGACACGGCCCAGACUCCUACGGGAGGCAGCAGUGGGGAAUUUUGGACAAUGGGGGCAACCCUGAUCCAGCCAUGCCGCGUGCGAGAAGAAGGCCUUCGGGUUGUAAACCGCUUUUGUUCGGGAAGAAAUCCUCUGGGCUAAUACCCCGGGGGGAUGACGGUACCGGAAGAAUAAGCACCGGCUAACUACGUG
rnacentral:rRNA from 1 species